UACAGAGGUCUCAAGCGUUGUUCGGAAUCAUUGGGCGUAAAGGGUGCGUAGGCGGCGCGGUAAGUCAGAUGUGAAAGCCUAGGGCUCAACCCUGGAAUUGCAUCCGAUACUACCAUGCUAGAGUACUGAAGAGGUGACUAGAAUUCUCGGUGUAGCAGUGAAAUGCGUAGAUAUCGAGAGGAAUACCAAAGGCGAAGGCAGGUCACUGGGCAGUUACUGACACUGAGGCACGAAGGCUAGGGGAGCAAACGGG
rnacentral:rRNA from 1 species